rnacentral:rRNA from 1 species
UAAUACGUAGGGGGCAAGCGUUGUCCGGAUUUACUGGGCGUAAAGCGCCUGUAGGCGGCCUGUCAAGUCCGGCCUGAAAGCCCCCCGCUCAACGGGGGAGGGUGGCUGGAAACUGGCAGGCUUGAGGGCGAGAGAGGAGGGUGGAAUUCCUGGUGUAGCGGUGAAAUGCGUAGAGAUCAGGAGGAAC